rnacentral:rRNA from 1 species
AGAGUUUGAUCAUGGCUCAGGACGAACGCUGGCGGCGUGCCUAAUACAUGCAAGUCGAGCGGACAGAUGGGAGCUUGCUCCCUGAUGUUAGCGGCGGACGGGUGAGUAACACGUGGGUAACCUGCCUGUAAGACUGGGAUAACUCCGGGAAACCGGGGCUAAUACCGGAUGGUUGUCUGAACCGCAUGGUUCAGACAUAAAAGGUGGCUUCGGCUACCACUUACAGAUGGACCCGCGGCGCAUUAGCUAGUUGGUGAGGUAACGGCUCACCAAGGCGACGAUGCGUAGCCGACCUGAGAGGGUGAUCGGCCACACUGGGACUGAGACACGGCCCAGACUCCUACGGGAGGCAGCAGUAGGGAAUCUUCCGCAAUGGACGGAAGUCUGACGGAGCAACGCCGCGUUGAGUGAUGAAGGUUUUCGGAUCGUAAAGCUCUGUUGUUAGGGAAGAACAAGUGCCGUUCAAAUAGGGCGGCACCUUGACGGUACCUAACCAGAAAGCCACGGCUAACUACGUGCCAGCAGCCGCGGUAAUACGUAGGUGGCAAGCGUUGUCCGGAAUUAUUGGGCGUAAAGGGCUCGCAGGCGGUUUCUUAAGUCUGAUGUGAAAGCCCCCGGCUCAACCGGGGAGGGUCAUUGGAAACUGGGGAACUUGAGUGCAGAAGAGGAGAGUGGAAUUCCACGUGUAGCGGUGAAAUGCGUAGAGAUGUGGAGGAACACCAGUGGCGAAGGCGACUCUCUGGUCUGUAACUGACGCUGAGGAGCGAAAGCGUGGGGAGCGAACAGGAUUAGAUACCCUGGUAGUCCACGCCGUAAACGAUGAGUGCUAAGUGUUAGGGGGUUUCCGCCCCUUAGUGCUGCAGCUAACGCAUUAAGCACUCCGCCUGGGGAGUACGGUCGCAAGACUGAAACUCAAAGGAAUUGACGGGGGCCCGCACAAG